rnacentral:lncRNA from 1 species
AUCUUGUGUCCUAAUUUUAACAAAAAUUUUAACAAAACUUUGUUCUGCCCAUGGUGCAGUCAGGGGACAAAGGAAGAGUGAGCACAGUAAGAGCAGAGGGGCCAGAUCAUCCUGGAGCAAAACCUGAGUGGGCUUGGAAGUUUUGUUACUUCUGAGGGGCUCUGAGGCAGCAAGAUCCUCAGUUGCCUGCUCAGUAAUUGUGGAGCUGCUCUGCUUCCUUCAGAUGGAAUGGAUAAUCCUUCCCAACUCCAAGCACCUUGUUCCAGACCUUUCCCCCUGCCAUGAGUGGAGAGGAGACAUGUGGCUCCUGCUUGAGGAAAGCAGAAGAGGCAUUUCCAUCCUGAAGGCAAUGGCUGGAAGGGCUGCCUGGGCUCUGACCUGCUGCAGGAUUCUCUACAUGGAUACCAGCGAGUGAUUCCAGGUGACCCUGGGCCAUGAUGCCAGGAGGGAUUUGGGCUUGGAGCAGACCUGGAGGAUGUCAUGUUCCCCUUUGGAUGGCCAGAAAACCCCAGCAGACCACAGGUUUGCCACCAGGUCUGCUGGUGAAGAAGGAAGCUUUCAAACCAUGGAAGCCUAGAAAACAGAAGGAAACAAACACCUGGGACCAAUUAAAACAUCUCCAGCAAGCCACCAGGGUUUGGGGACAUUCCCAAUGCUUCAGUGCACGUGGCUGGC